AUUGAACGCUGGCGGCAGGCCUAACACAUGCAAGUCGAACGAGUGGCGGACGGGUGAGUAAUGUCUGGGAAACUGCCUGAUGGGGGGGGAUAACUACUGGACACGGUAGCUAAUACCGCAUACCCUCAGAUGUGCCCAGAUGGGAUUAGCUUGUUGGUGGGGUAACGGCUAACAAAGGCGACGAUCCCUAGCUGGUCUGAGAGGAGGACAAGCCACACUGGAACUGAGACCCGGUCCAGACUCCUACGGGAGGCAGCAGUGGGGAAUAUUGCACAAUGGGCGCAAGCCUGAUGCAGCCAUGCCGCGUGUAUGAAGAAGGCCUUCGGGUUGUAAAGUACUUUCAGCGGGGAGGCGUUACCGGCAGAAGAAGCACCGGCUAACGCCGUGCCAGCAGCCGCGGUAAUAC
rnacentral:rRNA from 1 species